GCGCACCAGGCGAGAAACCUUUACAAUGUCUUCACGGACGAUAGGGGAAUCCUGAGUGCUCUAGCAUUGCUAGAGCUUUUGCUUACUGAAAAAGGUAGGCGAAUAAGUGGUGGGUAAGACGGGUGCCAGCCGCCGCGGUAAUACCCGCGCCACAAGUGGUGACCACGUUUAUUGGGUCUAAAGCGUUUCGUAGCCGGCCUGAUAAAUUCUCGGUGAAAAUCCUGUGUAAAUCAUAGGGCGUGCCGGGAAGACUGUCAAGCUAGGAACCGGGAGAGGGCUGAGGGUACUCCAGGAGUAGGGGUUAAAUGGCCGUUAUGGUUUAACCCUACGGUUUAACAAUCCUGUAAUUCUUGGAGGACCACCGGU
rnacentral:rRNA from 1 species